rnacentral:lncRNA from 1 species
UUAAAAGACCAUCUAAUGGUGCCUAUAAAUGUCCAUGUGCUCUAGUUGUUUUUUAAAAAAGGUGAGUGGAAUACAAGUUAUUCAUGUGUGCCUAAAAUUCUCUCCAUUUUUCUCCAUAGAGUAAUUUGUGAGGGUGAAUCCUCUUGAUUUUCAACAGAGUGGUAUUAGAGCCAAGACUUUUCUUGUGAGAAAAAGCGAUGGCAAAUGGAAUGCUUCCAUUUCUAAUGUCGCGGUCCACCAAGGAUAGCUAUGAAAAUUGGUAUAUCCGUGGCAAUCUUGGGAUCUCAAGAUUUGUGGGAGAUCGUUGACAAAGGCUACACGGAUUCGGAGAAUCAAGAUUUCUUGACUCCAGCUCAAAAGGAGUCCUUACAAGCCACAAGAAAGAAGGAUCGGAAGGCCAUCAUGAUCAUCCAUCAAUGUUUGGAUGAUGGCAUGCUGCAACGAGUUGCUAAUGUAACUUCUUCAAAGCAAACUUGGGCGAUUCUCCAAAACUCCUAUCAAGGAGUUGACAGAGUCAAGAAGAUUUGUCUUCAAUCUUUGCGUGGUGAAUUCGAAGCCUUACAUAUGAAAGAAUCCGAAUCAAUCUCGGAUUACUCUUGAAGGGUGUUGACCGUCGUAAAUCAACUAAGGAGGUACGGCGAAAAUGUGAGUGAUACGAGAGUUAUUGAAAAAAUCCUUCGUUCAUUGGAUUCCAAGUUUAAUUUUAUUGUUGUAGCCAUUGAAGAGUCCAAAGAUCUAGACUCCAUGACAAUCGAUCAACUCAUAGGAUCACUACAAGUUCAUGAAGAGAAGGUUGUCAAGAAGCAAGAGACUUUAGAGUAAAUGUUACAAAUAAAAGUCUUUUUGAAAGAAAAAGAAGAUCGUAGUUGGAAAGGCGAAAGAGAUCGUGGACGUGGAAAUGGACAUGGUCGAGAAAGAGGUGGUCGUGGAUCAUCCAACAAAGAAGAAAAGAAGAAAGAAUGGUAUCAAUCAAGAGGACGUGGAAGAGGAAACAAUUCGAGAUCAAAUGGAGGAAGGUAUGAUAAAUCUCGAAUUCGUUGCUAUAAUUGUCAAAAAUAUGGUCAUUUUGCUUCGGAGUGUAGAGGUCCUCAAAAUGCCGAAGAAGAAACUAACUAUGUUGAAAAUGAAGAGACGGAGCAAACUUUGUUGUUGGCAUGCAAAGGAGAAGAAAAUGGAGAUCAUGAUUUAUGGUAUCUUGACAAUGCGACUAGCAACCACAUGUGCGGUGACAAAAGCAAAUUUGUGGAGUUGGAUGAAACUGCAAGCAGUAAUGUGGAUUUUGGAGAUUCUUUCAAAGUAUCGAUCAAAAAAAAAGGUACAAGUUUGAUUUGCUUGAAAAAUAGUGAUGAUUAAUUUAUUGCUAAUGUUUUUUAUGUUCCAAGCAUGAAAAAUAAUAUUUUGAGCUUAGGACAACUCUUAGAGAAAGGCUAUAAUAUUCAAAUGAAAAAUCUUAAUCUUUCGAUAAGAGAUCAAAAGAAAAGUUUAGUGGCCAAAGUUAAACUGCAUGUUUGUGCUCAACCUUUAAACCGAUGUUGCUAAAUGCUUGAAGGCUUGUGUUGAAGAUCUAAAUUGGCUUUGGCACUUAAGGCUUGGGCACUUGAAUAUUGAUGGGCUAGAAUUAUUGGCCAAGAAGAAUAUGGUGAAUGGGUUGCUCUUUAUUGACCACCCAAAUCAACUUUGUGAAGGAUGUCUCUUUGGCAAGCAAUCAAAAAAAAGCUUUCCAAAAGAAGCUAGCACAAGAGCAAUGGAACCACUACAACUUAUUGAUUCGGAUGUUUGUGGUCCAUUCAAUCCACCAUCUUUUAGUAAGAACAAGUACUUUCUCUUAUUUAUUGAUGAUUUUAGCCGAAAAACUUGGAUUUAUUUUCUUAAAGAAAAAUCGGAGGUGUUUGAAGCAUUUAAAAGAUUUAAGGCACUCAUUGAGAAACAAAAUGGUUUUGAUAUAAAGGCUAUAUGAUCCAAUAGAGGAGGUGAGUUCACAUCAAAUGCUUUCAAAAGCUUUUGUGAAGAAAUUGGAAUUUACCAUUCUUUUACCAUUCUUUAACGGUUCCAAGAUCCCCGUAACAAAAUGGGGUUGCGGAGAGAAAAAAUAGAACCAUCCUUAAUAUGGUUCGGAGUAUGUUAAAAAGCAAGAUGCCCAAAGAUUUUUGGGCCGAAGCCGUUAAUUGUGCGGUGUACUUAUCCAACCGGUGUCCUACCAAGAGUGUGCCAAAUCAAACACUACGAAAAGCAUGGAGUGGAAGAAGACCAAGUGUCUCUCAUUUGCGUGUUUUUGGAAGCAUAGCCUAUGCACAUAUAUCGGAUGAAAAGCGCUCUAAGCUAGAUGACAAUAGCGAAAAAUUGGUCUGAUUCAUUAGUUAUGAUGCAAGCUCUAAGGACUACAAGCUAUACAAUUCAAAAAGUCACAAGAUCAUCACUAGUAGAGAUGAUGAAUUUGACGAAGCAAGUUCAUAGGAUUGGAAUUCUCCAAAAGAAGAGUAUGACUUUUUUCCUUUCUUUGAAGAGGAGGAGCAAGGAAGUCAAGUCUUGGAGCCUCCUCCACCUUCAACACUUCCAUCAUCCGCUCAAGUGCAAUCAUUUCCAUUAUCAAAUGAGGCAAGUUUAAGUGAAGGACCAAGAGGCACAAGGAGUCUUCAAGACAUAUAUGAUGCCACGGAUGAGGUAACGGAAAGAUUAAGUGAUUUAACACUUUUUUAUUUUUUGACAGUAGUGAACCUCUCAGCUUUGAAGAAGCAACUCAAGACAAGAAGUGGAGAGAUGCUAUGAAUGAAGAAAUCAAAACCGUAGAGAAGAAUGAAACUUGGGAGUUCACCACUCUUCUGGAAGGGCAAAAGGCAAUCGAAGUCAAAUGGGUGUACAAGGCAAAGAAGAAUUCAAGAGGAGAAGUCGAGAGGCACAAGGCAAGACUUGUUGUCAAGGGAUACAACCAAAGUUUCGGGAUCGACUAUGAUGAAGUAUUUCCACUCGUUGCUCGUUUGGAAACUAUUAGAUUAAUUAUUUCUUUGGCGGCGCAAAACAAUUGAAAAAUCUAUCAAAUGGAUGUGAAGUUCGCUUUCUUGAAUGGUUUUCUUGAAUAAGAGAUUUAUGUGAAACAACCUUUGGGAUAUAUUGUGAAAGGACAAGAAGAUAAAGUUUUGAAAUUAAAGAAAUCCUUGUAUGGCUUGAAGCAAGCACCAAGAGCUUGGAAUACCAAAAUUGACAAGUAUUUUCAAGACAACAAGUUCACCAAAUGUCCUUAUGAGCAUGCCCUUUACACAAAGGUCAAUGAUGAUGGAGAUAUAUUCGUGGUUUACUUGUAUGUAGAUGACUUGAUUUUUACCGGCAACAAUUUUAUUAUGUUUCAAGAAUUCAAGCAAGCUAUGUCUCAAGAGUUUGAGAUGACGGACAUUGGCCUUAUGGCUUACUACCUUGGCAUUGAAGUGAAGCAAAUGAAAGAUGGAAUUUUCAUCUCUCAAGAAGGUUAUGCUAAAGAAGUUCUCAAAAGAUUCAAGAUGGAUGAUAGCAACCUGGUGAGCACUCACGUGGAAUGUGGAGUCAAAUUAUCAAGAUAUGAAGAUGGAGAAAAGGUGGAUCCUACAUUCUUCAAAAGUCUUGUUGGAAGUUUAAGAUAUUUAACUUGCAUAAGGCUGGAUAUUCUUUUUGGGGUAGGACUUGUUAGUCGGUAUAUGGAAGCUCCUACUUCAUUCCAUUUGAAGGUGGCCAAGAGAAUUCUCCACUACAUCAAAUGUACCCUUAAUUAUGGCCUAUUUUAUUCACUUGUUGUUAACUUCACACUUGUUGGAUAUAGUGAGUGAUUGGGCCGGAGAUGUGGAUGAAAGAAAAAGUACGAUGGAAUAUGUUUUCUUUAUGAAAAGUGUGGCUUUUACAUGAUCUUCAAAAAAGCAACCUAUUGUUACACUUUCUACUUGUGAAGCGGAGUAUGUUGCAAUCUUAAGUUGUGUUUGUCAAGCCAUUUGGCUAAGGUAUUUGUUGAAGGAGCUUCAUAUGUUACAAGAAGAACCAACGGAGAUUUUUGUCGACAACAAAUCAGCAAUAGCAUUAGCCAAGAAUCCGGUAUUUCAUGAGCGCAGCAAGCAUAUCGAUACAAAGUAUCAGUUCAUUAGAGAAUGUAUGGCUAAGAAGGAAGUGAAGCUCAAGUNNNNNNNNNNNNNNNNNNNNAAGAAUCCGGUAUUUCAUGAGCGCAGCAAGCAUAUCGAUACAAAGUAUCAGUUCAUUAGAGAAUGUAUGGCUAAGAAGGAAGUGAAGCUCAAGUACCCGAAGUCUCAAGUUCAAAUUGUCGAUAUUUUCACUAAGCCCCUCAAGUGUGAAACUUUUUGCAAGUUAAGGAGUUUGCUUGGAGUUGCAAAACCAAGUUUAAGGGUGGGGGUGUUGGUUAUUAAACUUGUUUUUAAUAUUAGUAACUUAUGGUUUUAUUUUCUGUAAUUGCAUAUUAGUAUGGUGAGGAGUUACAUGUUUUUUGGGUUUUUAGUCAUGUGGGAGUUACAUGGAGUUAUAAGGGUGCUAUUUGAGAUUUAUUUGGGGGUUAUGUAUGGCGUAAUGACUAAUUCAAUUAGAGAAGUUAAAAGACCAUCUAAUGGUGCCUAUAAAUGUCCGUGUGCUCUAGUUGUUUUUUAAAAAAGGUGAGUAGAAUACAAGUUAUUCAUGUGUGCCUAAAAUGCUCUCCAUUUUUUUCUCCAUAGAGUAAUUUGUGAGGAUGAAUCCUCUUGAUUUCCAACAUGAACUAGGUCACAGCGAUGUGAUCUAUUGACAAACACGUGUAAUACAACCAGAUGUUUCAUAAUAUCUGAAAGCACAAUUAGCCUAUAUUCUAUUCUGCAUCAUUUGCUUGUGGUUGUCAAUGUCAUUGCAAGAUCUGUAGUUUCCAGAUCCAUCGUUGGAUUACCAUGAUGUAAUAGUCUGGAUUAAUGAAGAUCCUCUUAGUGAUCUGUCUACCAUUUCUUGAUUGUGAUUAGACUAAACCUGCAAUUUUGCACUUGAUUAUUUAACAUGUGUAGUAAGGCAAUUGGAUCUGUUUUAUCAAAGAUGACAGAUCAUUAUACCGAAUGCCUAUGAUCUUCACUGUUGACU